rnacentral:lncRNA from 1 species
UUCAGACCCUGCCAGUGUACCAGGUGGACAUUGGGUUUGAUUCAGACCCUGCCAGUGUACCAGGUGGACAUUGGGUUUGAUUCAGACCCUGCCAGUGUACCAGGUGGACAUUGGGUUGAUUCAGACCCUGUCAGUGUUCCAGGUGGACAUUGGGUUUGAUUCAGACCCUGUCAGUGUACCAGGUGGACAUUGGGUUGGAUUCAGACCCUGUCAGUGUACCAGGUGGACAUUGGGUUUGAUUCAGACCCUGUCAGUGUUCCAGGUGGACAUUGGGUUUGAUUCAGACCCUGUCAGUGUACCAGGUGGACAUUGGGUUGGAUUCAGACCCUGUCAGUGUGCCAGGUGGACAUUGGGUUUGAUUCAGACCCUGCCAGUGUACCAGGUGGACAUUGGGUUGGAUUCAGACCCUGUCAGUGUACCAGAUGGACAUUGGGUUUGAUUCAGACCCUGCCAGUGUACCAGGUGGACAUUGGGUUGAUUCAGACCCUGUCAGUGUUCCAGGUGGACAUUGGGUUUGAUUCAGACCCUGUCAGUGUACCAGGUGGACAUUGGGUUGGAUUCAGACCCUGUCAGUGUGCC